GAGGAGGAAGCCCAAAAAGAAGAUUUCUGGAUGUGAUGAGGGAGGACAUGCACGUGGUUGGUUUGACAGAGGAGGAUUCAGAGGACAGGGUUAGAUGGAAACAAUUGAUCUGCUGUGGUCACCCCUAACGGGAACUGC